GAUGAACGCUGGCGGCGUGCCUAAUACAUGCAAGUCGAGCGCAGAAGGCAGGUACUUGUACCUAUUGGAUGAGCAGCGAACGGGUGAGUAACGCGUGGGUAAUCUGCCUUUGAGCGUGGGAUAACAUUGGGAAACGAAUGCUAAUACCGCAUAAAAAUUUUAAACACAAGUUUCAAGUGUGAAAGAUGCAAUUGCUAUACUUAAAGAUGAUCCCGUGUUGUAAUAGCUUGUUGGGGAGGGUAAGGUCCACCAAGGCGAAGAAACAUAACCGGCCCGGGGGGGUGAUCGGGCCCCCUGGGACUGGAACCCGGCCCCAACCCCUACGGGAGGCAGCAGUAGGGGAUCUUCGCACAUGGACGGAAGUCUGACCGGGCAACGCCCCGUGAGUGGAGAAGGUUUUCGGAUUGUAAAACGUUGUUGGUUGAGAAAAACGUUGGUGGUAGUUGACAGCUCACCAAGUGACGGUACCUUAUCAGAAAGGGACGGCUAACUACGUG
rnacentral:rRNA from 1 species